AAGUAACCGGAAGUCUCGUGUGUGUUGUAGCGUUAGCUGAGGAGCAUAUUUGUCAGUGUUGAGGCGGCAGAGCUCCAGGUAAACCCGCACACACUCAGAAUCCAGAGAGAGACCAGGACAUCAGAGUCCAUGAGAGAGGAGGAGCAGGAGGAGCAGUAGAGGAGCGGAAUGGAGGAGGACAAGCAGAACCCGGAGCACCGGAGCAACAAGGUCCGGAGAAGACAAGCAGCAGGCUCGUCCUCUGAUAGCAGCGAUGUUGAGGAACAGAGAGGAA